CGAACGCUGCGGCGUGCCUAAUACAUGCAAGUAGAACGCUGAAGGAGGAGCUUGCUCUUUCCGGAUGAGUUGCGAACGGGUGAGUAACGCGUAGGUAACCUGCCUGGUAGCGGGGGAUAACUAUUGGAAACGAUAGCUAAUACCGCAUAAGAGUAGAAUCGCAUGAUAGCUGCUUGAAAGGUGCAAUUGCACCACUACCAGAUGGACCUGUGUUGUAUUAGCUAGUUGGUGAGGUAACGGCUCACCAAGGCAACGAUACAUAGCCGACCUGAGAGGGUGAUCGGCCACACUGGGACUGAGACACGGCCCAGACUCCUACGGGAGGCAGCAGUAGGGAAUCUUCGGCAAUGGACGGAAGUCUGACCGAGCAACGCCGCGUGAGUGAAGAAGGUUUUCGGAUCGUAAAGCUCUGUUGUAAGAGAAGAACGAGUGUGAGAGUGGAAAGUUCACACUGUGACGGUAUCUUACCAGAAAGGGACGGCUAA
rnacentral:rRNA from 1 species